AUUGAACGCUGGCGGCAGGCCUAACACAUGCAAGUCGAGCGGAUGAAGGGAGCUUGCUCCUGGAUUCAGCGGCGGACGGGUGAGUAAUGCCUAGGAAUCUGCCUGGUCGUGGGGGAUAACGUCCGGAAACGGGCGCUAAUACCGCAUACGUCCUGAGGGAGAAAGUGGGGGAUCUUCGGACCUCACGCUAUCAGAUGAGCCUAGGUCGGAUUAGCUAGUUGGUGGGGUAAAGGCCUACCAAGGCGACGAUCCGUAACUGGUCUGAGAGGAUGAUCAGUCACACGGGAACUGAGACACGGUCCAGACUCCUACGGGAGGCAGCAGUGGGGAAUAUUGGACAAUGGGCGAAAGCCUGAUCCAGCCAUGCCGCGUGUGUGAAGAAGGUCUUCGGAUUGUAAAGCACUUUAAGUUGGGAGGAAGGGCAGUAAGUUAAUACCUUGCUGUUUUGACGUUACCAACAGAAUAAGCACCGGCUAACUUCGUG
rnacentral:rRNA from 1 species